rnacentral:rRNA from 1 species
GACGAACGCUGCGGCGUGCUUAACACAUGCAAGUCGAACGAAAAGACGGAAAGAGCUUGCUCUUUUCAGAAUUGAGUGGCAAACGGGUGAGUAACACGUAAACAACCUGCCUUCAGGAUGGGGACAACAGACGGAAACGACUGCUAAUACCGAAUAAGUUCCAAGAGCCGCAUGGCCCAUGGAAGAAAAGGUGGCCUCUACCUGUAAGCUAUCGCCUGAAGAGGGGUUUGCGUCUGAUUAGCUGGUUGGAGGGGUAACGGCCCACCAAGGCGACGAUCAGUAGCCGGUCUGAGAGGAUGAACGGCCACACUGGAACUGAGACACGGUCCAGACUCCUACGGGAGGCAGCAGUGGGGAAUCUUCCGCAAUGGGCGAAAGCCUGACGGAGCAACGCCGCGUGAGUGAUGACGGCCUUCGGGUUGUAAAACUCUGUGAUCCGGGACGAAAAGGCAGAGUGCGAAGAACAAACUGCAUUGACGGUACCGGAAAAGCGAGCCACGGCU